rnacentral:rRNA from 1 species
AUUGAACGCUGGCGGAAUGCUUUACACAUGCAAGUCGAGCGGCAGCGCGGGGGCAACCCUGGCGGCGAGCGGCGAACGGGUGAGUAACAUAUCGGAACGUACCCUGUCGUGGGGGAUAACUAUCCGAAAGGAUAGCUAAUACCGCAUACGACCUACGGGUGAAAGUGGGGAACCUUCGGGCCUCACGCGAUGAGAUGAGCCGAUGCCGGAUUAGCUAGUUGGCGGGGUAAAGGCCCACCAAGGCGACGAUCCGUAGCUGGUCUGAGAGGAUGAUCAGCCACACUGGAACUGAGACACGGUCCAGACUCCUACGGGAGGCAGCAGUGGGGAAUAUUGGACAAUGGGGGCAACCCUGAUCCAGCCAUGCCGCGUGUGUGAAGAAGGCCUCGGUUGUAAGCACUUUGUU